ACCCGGUUGACGAGUCUCAAAUACGACGAAACGCGCGUCCUGGAU
rfam:Schistosoma rodhaini strain Burundi genome assembly, scaffold: SROB_scaffold0004379